rnacentral:rRNA from 1 species
AUGGCUAAACCCAUGCCGCUCCCGACCCCGGCCGCCGCGGCGGCGGCGGCGGCGCCAGCGCGCCUCCCCGUCGGCCUCCUCCUCCACACAACCCCGCCUCUCCGCCUCCGCCUCCGGGUCCCCUCCUUCCUCUCGCCACCACCCCAAAGCCGCGGCCUUUCUUCCCCCCUCCGGGCUGUCGCUGCCGCCGUAUCCACCACCACCACCGGCAGGCGCGCCGCCAGGCCGCCGAACCCAGGGCAGGUCAUCAGCGAGGGCAGGGACGAGGACGCCCGCCGCGCCGUGUGCCCCGGGUGCGGGGUGUUCAUGCAGGACGACGACCCCGACCUCCCCGGCUUCUUCACCAGCCCCUCCCGCCGCCCCCCGCAGGACGAAUUGGGGGAAGAAGAAUCCGACUCUCCGGAGGGGUUCGUCGGGGACGAGGAGGAGGACGACGGCUUGCCGUCGGAGUCCGAUCUCGCCGCCGAACUGGACGGCCUGGACACCGGAUUUCUCGAGUCCCUCGAAGAAGAAGACGAAGAGGACGAGGAGGAGGACGGUGGCGGAGAGACGGAGGCCGGCAUGGACGGCGAGAGCGGCUGGGACUCGGAGUGGGACGACGGGAUGGAGGAGGACGAGGAGGAGAAAUGGAGCAAAGAGCUGGACGGGUUCACGCCGCCGGGGGUCGGGUACGGGAGCAUCACGGAGGAGACCCUGGAGAGGAUGAGGAAGGAGAAGCUGUCCAAGGCGGAGCGGAAGCGGCGGGCGAGGGAGGCCAAGCAGGCCGAGGCCAGGGAGGACUCCGCCGUGGUGUGCGCCCGGUGCCACUCGCUGAGGAACUACGGGCACGUCAAGAACGACAGGGCCGACAACCUCAUCCCGGACUUCGACUUUGACCGCUUCAUUUCGUCGCGCCUGAUGAAGCGGUCGGCCGGCACGCCGGUCAUCGUCAUGGUGGUGGACUGCGCCGACUUCGACGGGUCAUUCCCCAAGAGGGCGGCCAAGUCGCUGUUCAGGGCGCUCGAGGGGAGGGGCAACUCCAAAUUGAGCGAGACGCCGAGGCUCGUCCUUGUCGGCACCAAGGUGGAUCUGCUGCCAUGGGAGCAGAUGGGAGUGAGGCUGGAGAAAUGGGUGCGAGGCCGAGCUAAGGCUUUCGGAGCUCCGAAGCUCGAUGCCGUGUACCUCGUCAGCGUCCACAAGGAUUUGUCAGUGAGGAACUUGAUCUCAUAUGUCAAGGAUUUAGCGGGGCCUCGCAGCAACGUGUGGGUGAUCGGUGCGCAGAAUGCUGGGAAAUCGACACUGAUCAAUGCAUUUGCAAAGAAGCAAGGUGUUAAGAUCACAAGACUGACAGAAGCAGCCGUUCCGGGAACUACAUUGGGCAUAUUGAGGAUGACGGGCGUUUUGCCUGCAAAGGCUAAGAUGUAUGACACUCCUGGCUUGCUGCAUCCGUAUAUUAUGUCAAUGAGGUUAAACACCGAGGAACGGAAGAUGGUUGAAAUCAGGAAGGAACUUCGGCCGCGGACCUUCAGGGUGAAGGCUGGACAAUCUGUCCACAUUGGUGGGUUAACACGCCUGGAUGUACUAGAAGCUUCAGUUCAAACUAUAUAUGUGACUGUUUGGGCAUCUGCCAAUAUUUCCCUUCAUCUUGGAAAAACUGAAAAUGCUGAAGAACUGCGGGCCAAGCAUGUUGGCAUCAGACUUCAGCCACCAGUUGCGGCAGAGCGAGCGACCGAACUGGGCCAGUGGACAGAGAGGCGGAUCGACGUGUCCGGGGUCAGCUGGGACGUGAACAGCACGGACAUCGCGGUCUCAGGUCUAGGCUGGUACUCGCUGGGCCUGAAAGGCAACGCCACCGUCGCCGUGCACACUUUCGACGGCAUCGACGUGACGCAGCGCGACGCGAUGAUCCUCCACCGUGCCAAGUUCCUCGAGAGGCCCGGGUUCUUGCUGCCCAUCGCCAUCGCGAACGCCAUAGGCGAGGAGACCAGGAAGAAGAACGAGAGAUUGAAUGCCCAACAGCAGAGCGAUGACGACGACUACGACGAUGACGACCUUUCCGACGACGAAAGCGCAGAGUGA